UGGGGAAUAUUGGGCAAUGGGCGCAAGCCUGACCCAGCAACGCCGCGUGAGGGAAGAAGGUUUUCGGAUUGUAAACCUCUGUCCUUGAUGAAAGAAGAAGAUGGUAAUCAAGGAGGAAGCCCCGGCUAACUACGUGCCAGCAGCCGCGGUAAUACGUAGGGGGCGAGCGUUGUCCGGAAUGAUUGGGCGUAAAGGGCGCGUAGGCGGCCAUUUAAGUCUGGAGUGAAAGUCCUGUUUUUAAGAUGGGAACUGCUUUGGAUACUGGAUGGCUUGAGUGCAGGAGAGGUUAUCGGAAUUCCCGGUGUAGUGGUGAAAUGCGUAGAGAUCGGGAGGAACACCAGUGGCGAAGGCGGGUAACUGGACUGCAACUGACGCUGAGGCGCGAAAGUGUGGGGAGCAAACAGGAUUAGAUA
rnacentral:rRNA from 1 species